UACGUAGGCAGCAAGCGUUGUUCGGAAUUACUGGGCGUAAAGCGUGCGUAGGCGGUGGUCCAAGUCUGCUGUGAAAUCUCCCGGCUUAACUGGGAGGGUGCGGUGGAAACUGGGAUGCUAGAGGAUGGGAGAGGUAAGCGGAAUUCCUGGUGUAGCGGUGAAAUGCGUAGAUAUCAGGAGGAACACCGGUGGUGUAGACAGCUUACUGGACCAUUUCUGACGCUGAGACACGAAAGCGUGGGUAGCAAACAGG
rnacentral:rRNA from 1 species